GAAGGAGACACAGGUAUUCCCCUAGUAACGGCGAGUGAAGCGGCAACAGCUCAAAUUUGAAAUCUGGCCCUUGGGUCCGAGUUGUAAUUUAGGGUGAGAGCCCCGUACGGUUGGCCACCAAGCCUGUGUAAAGCUCCUUCGACGAGUCGAGUAGUUUGGGAAUGCUGCUCAAAAUGGGAGGUAUAUUUCUUCUAAAGCUAAAUACUGGCCAGAGACCGAUAGCGCACAAGUAGAGUGAUCGAAAGAUGAAAAGCACUUUGAAAAGAGGGUUAAAUAGCACGUGAAAUUGUUGAAAGGGAAGCGCUUAUGACCAGACUUUUUCUGGGGGGAUCAUCCGGUGUUCUCACCGGUGCACUUCCCCCAGUGGAGGCCAGCAUCGGUUUCUGCCGGGGGAUAAAAGCUUCGGGAAUGUGGCUCCUUCGGGAGUGUUAUAGCCCGUUGCAUAAUACCCUGGCGGGGACCGAGGUUCGCGCAUUGCAAGGAUGCUGGCGUAAUGGUUAUUAAUCACCCGUCUUGAAACACGGACCAAGGAGUCGAACAUUUGUGCGAGUGUUUGGGUGUUAAACCCUCACGCGUAAUGAAAGUGAACGGAGGUGAGAGCCCCUCGGGGUGCAUCAUCGACCGAUCCUGAUGUCUUCGGAUGGAUUUGAGUAAGAGCAUAACUGUUCGGACCCGAAAGAUGGUGAACUAUGCGUGGAUAGGGUGAAGCCAGAGGAAACUCUGGUGGAGGCUCGCAGCGGUUCUGACGUGCAAAUCGAUCGUCAAAUCUGCGCAUGGGGGCGAAA
rnacentral:rRNA from 1 species